rnacentral:tRNA from 2 species
CCUUCGAUAGCUCAGUUGGUAGAGCGGAGGACUGUAGUGGAUACAUGGUAAUCCUUAGGUCGCUGGUUCGAAUCCGGCUCGAAGGA